UUAUUAUUAUUAUUAUCAUCAUUAUUAUAUUUGUACAUCUCCUAACACUGGAGAUGUCCUACGGUGUCAGCUGUUCACUACCAGUGAACUAAGGUAACACCCCUUAUUUUUCGAGCACCUUCCGGAGUAUUCGAGCGGGUCCAAGCAUUGCUGUUUUCUGCAAGUGCUCCACCCUUAUUGCAGCCC